rnacentral:lncRNA from 1 species
GCCAGCACUCGCCGAGGAGGCAGCUGUGAUGACAGCGUGCUAGAGCAGCGGAAAAGAAGGUAAGAACCUCUGAUACCAUGUAGAGAAAGUAGAAUGGACGCCUCACCAAUGUUGGGAGGUUGAUCUCUCAUAUAUAUAGCUGAAUUACAAUGAAUGCUAGUGCUGAGAUACAAUCAAUACAAGAUAGUUACAUAAGACCAAAGGUCUAGGGAGAGUAACUAUUUGGGAGUGUAAAGGUCUAGGAGACCAACAGCCUAUAGAUUAAUAAUAAUCCUAAUAAUAGUUGAUCACUAAAUGCGGAUGUUCUUGAACAAAAAGCUAGCAAAAAGAUCUCAAGGUCAAAAUAGUACAAAACCAGUCAUUGUGCAAGCGCCACAUAAAGUGAUGAAUUUCUUCUGAGUAGCUUGGACCAAGAGACUAGUCAGAAAUGACAUCCAGAUGACUCCCAACCCUACGUUAGACUACUUGAAGUUAGUUUGUCAAGUAGUAGCAUGAAUUAUGAUCCAUUUGGACUACCUGUGUUUUGGGAUGUAUAUAUAUAUGGAGGAAGCCUGAAACUAACACAUCAACUCCUUCAGUGAUAAAUUUAUAGGCUCCUUGUGAAGGUCUUCCCAUACCAACAUUAAGUCCCCAACCAACAGAAGACUCCCUCAGACUGUGUACUUCCAUGGAUGUUUCAAAACAAAAGAAAGCAAUGAUAUGAAGAUGUCCAGCACAUGGUAACAAGCCAUACAAACUUCGAAAGUAUAGUAAGCAAUAGGCUUAUUACUUUUCUAAUCUGAGCUCUAAUUUGCCGCUACAACAUACCGCCAAUAUUAUAAGCCGUAUGCCGAAGGGGGGAGGGCAUGAUAUAAUAACAUAGAUAAUUUAAAGCACUAUCCUGACUUAAUUUGUUUCUUUGGUUUGGAAUUCGUCCCGGUUGAACAAUUGAACAGGUUCGAGUAUGAACAGCCCAGGCAGUACUUAGGUUUGUAUAUUGGGUAAUUUAACCAUCCUUAAAAAGAUACUUGAAGAUAUGUACCAUAUAUUUUAGUCUAAAAUUUGGUACCUAUAGGUACUAGGUAUCUCGAGACACCAAAAUUUUAGGGUACUACAGGUACGUCUCAAGGACCUAAAAAUUCUCGUGCAUAUCUUAAAGGCUGUUUUCAGAGAAACCUUUCUAGCUAUGUACGAAAAGCUGUAGCAUAAACCUUUCGAUCUCCAUCUCCUACAUGAUGAGUAGCUUCAAAUUUCAAGAGUACUGAAUUGGUGCUUUCUGGUAAUUGAAUGAACAUAUAUUUGUUUGAGCAACAAACUUCUUGUACCACAAAUUUUAGUAUGAAAUCUACUGAUCUUUCAGUGGAGGGAUUGUUUCACUGGUCCGAUUAUCUUCAGAAUUAUAAGAGGCUAGUCUCAAACCUGCAACACCUAACAAUGGAUAUUAUAAUGUGCUGAUGCAUUCAACACUGUCGAUUCCGACUUCUGAAUGUGUUCCGAAAUGACUGCGCAAUUUCAGCAUAUUCAUAUCACUAGGUCAAAGUUAAAUUUGCACACUGUCUUAGUAAAUUAAAUGACAUCCAAUCAAGUGUGCGACAAACUCCUUCACCGAUUCAAAAUAGCUAGAAUUUGUAGGAGCUGGUGACAAUGUUCUGUUGUCUUUCCAUACUAGAACUCAAACAGUAUGCUAAUGUCAUCCAGAGCUUAACCGAUCACCUUGUACUAGUCUUCAACACCUCAGGUGUGCUGCCACUAAACAUCAGAUGAUGCAGGGGAGCAAGUGGAUCACCCGCGAACCCACUUAUAGGUCAAAAUAAACGAAUUCGCGGGUUAGUUUAGCCUAUAAGUGGGUUUUCGCGGGUUGCCGCUUGCACCCUUAGAUGAUGGCCUCGCAAUUGAGCAGGCCUUGAAGUCACUCAUGAGGAAUAUUAUAACCAUCCUGAGUUCUGCGAAUAAUAAAAUGCAAGUCAUUUGGACUUUUUUGCUGACAUGGAACGCUUGUGCAGUUUACAUGUUCUAUGAGAUGGAUGGAAUAGAAUGCUCAAAUUGAACUGGGAUAAUCAAACUAAUAUCUCAUUGGUUAAUGGCAUGACAUCCUAUAUGUACUGGUUUUGGUACGAUAGCUGAUUUGAAAUCCAAAUACCUCCCAAAUACAUCACUACUAAUAACUCAUGCAUCACGAUUAGCACAAGCGUUUACCCUACCUUAAUUAAAUUCCUGCUCUUUUAGCUCUUCAUCGAAACAGAGCUGUAACGGAGAAUUGAGUGACAGGCAAAAUAAAAUUUCUGACUCAUAAGUAGCGAGCUGCCGAGCUAGACAACCAGUCCCUAGCGUCCACUAAUUCAAGCGUGCUAGUAGUCUGAAAACCACUAAAAAGUGAUGGUAAAUUACAUGGUCCAGAUUUACUUGAUGUUAGAAGUGACAUCCAGAUGACUCCCAAACCCUAUGCUUUAGACUACUUGUUGACAUCAUAGUUUCUCAAGCAGUGGCGUGGAUUCGUAAGGACUCCCUGUGUGCCUGGGCCGGGGCUGUAUAUAUGGAAGCCGGAAACCAACACAUAAAUUCCAUCAGUGAUAAAUAGGCUCCUUCAGAUGGUCUUUCUGUGCCAACAUCAAGUCCCCAACCACCAGAAGACUCCUCACACUCACAAUGUACUCCCAUCGCAUCCCAGCAGCAUGUCCAACUUAUUUUUACCCAGUUGCAUCACGAUAGUUGGACCAGGUGGCACAGGAGAUUUUUUUACCUAGGAGCAUGAGUGGCGGGCUAGUCUACGGAUUGAUAGCCACUAAGAUAUAUGUUCUGGUUGUUUCUUUCUUCUUAUUUGGCUGUGUGCAUUUUUG